rfam:Picea glauca, whole genome shotgun sequence.
CAAAAGGUUUUUAUAAAAACCAUUAACCUCCUCUCAACUAUAUUCU